UACAGAGGGGGCAAGCGUUGUUCGGAAUUACUGGGCGUAAAGGGCGCGUAGGCGGCCUGCUAAGUCGAACGUGAAAUCCCUGGGCUCAACCCAGGAACUGCGUCCGAUACUGGUUGGCUUGAAUCCGGGAGAGGGACGUGGAAUUCCAGGUGUAGAGGUGAAAUUCGUAGAUAUUAGGAAGAACACCGGUGGCGAAGGCGGCCCACUGGAUCGGUACUGACGCUGAGGUGCGAAAGCGUGGGGAGCAAACAGG
rnacentral:rRNA from 1 species